CUUCACAUACACCACAAACAUGGAGAUGAUGAUAUUCCUGCAGCGCAAAACAAGCCACAAGAAAUCACUGUGAUUAAUGAGGAAAGCAAUGUAGAUAAAAAGGAGGACGUUGAUGAUCAUAAGAAAAGGCAUUUGGUGAAAAAAGUAGGGAAAAUUGCCAAAAAAUUGUUACAGGGUCAUAACAAAACCUCCAGGGAGGAAGGCUACGAAGGAGAGGAGGAGGAAGAGGCCGCGGAGGAGGGAGAAGAAGUAGAAAUGGAAGAAGGUGGUUUUGAAUUUGAAGUCGAUUUCGACUUUUGAAUUUUUAUUACUCGUAUUAUGGUUUAGGUAUCAGCCCAAUUGUUGUGUGCCUUUUAUAUUUGCGUUCUUGUUUAUUGAUAUAAGAAUAUUUCCUCUAUAGCCCAAAACAAAUUGAACUGGCACAGAAGCUCCAACUGCACGGCUAAGUUCAUUCUGUUUAUUUGUGGAGAAAAGUUUAAAUCUAAAAUUUCUAAUUAACCGAAGGAAUCUGUCACAUCAUAAUUCUGAAUAAUUUUAAUUUUCUAGUAGUAUUGUUACGACAGCAAAUAAACUUUGGACCCCAAACCGUGGGACAGCAUCAGAAUUUCAACUAUGUAUUGCAGACCCUCUAAAUUUAAUUAUCCCAACCUAUAUUUGUAUAAUUAAAUUAUCUUUUCAAAGAUUUCUUUAAAUCUAUCUUUAAAUAAAUAAUUAUCAUAAAUGUGACGGUUCCUUCACAAUCGUGCUAACUGCAGAAAAAUUUAUGACUGUAUUGUUGGUGUAAUUUAUCACAAAUAUAAUAAAUAUAGUUAAAAAUAAAAUGAAUAAAAAAUAAAUAAAUUAUCAUUCGGACUAAAGCACAGAUAUCUUGCUUUCUUAAAGAAGAUUCAAGUCCACUGCUAUAUAAUCUACAUCGUACCGAUUCAGCAAUAUAUCUCUUGACUUGUCCGGUUAUCCCUUCUAGGAUAUAACAACCCAACAACGUCAUACUACUCAAGUAACACCGGAUUAGUUGAAAAGUUCAAAGCUCUAUAACACAGAACAAAUUCUUUCAACAUAUAAAUACUCUCUUUUAUAUAGUGAAUAUAAUUGAAGACCUAGAAUAUUUUUUUCUUAGUCACAACUCUCUCUUUCACUACUACAUACUAUAAUAUUUUUUCACGCUUAACAUAUUUCAUCUCCUACCCAACACAAAGGAAGAUGCACCAUUAUUUAUACGUAAAGAAGUCUUUCAUAUAAUCAAUGAGUAGAAUAAUGGAUGAAAUGAAGAUUUAGAGGUUACAAAAGUUACUAACUAUUAAUGACCAAAUUCUACCACAACACAAAUAUAAUAUCCAUCAAUAAACAUAACACGAUAUAUUAUGUGACAUGAUAUGUUUUUAUUAAAAUGUCACAAUAACAUUUAUUAUUUUAUUAAAAGAAGACCCACUUAUCAAUUUCACAUAACAAGUUGCUUAUUUAAAUAUCUUUUUGAGCAGCCCGAAUCAGUCAAACACGUAGUUCUUGACUCUGGUCUAUUUCUUUUCACAGGAAACACAAGUGGACAAUCUUUAAUUUACUUAUGUAGAGUUGUAGACAAAAGACUUAUUUUUUAUUAUUUGAAGUGGUCACAGGACUCUCAAAUGUGAAUUAUUGAAAUUUGGUAAACGUAGUUGCUAUUACAUAAUUAAAUGUCUUAAAACGUGCUUGUAAAAAAUAAUUAAAUGAUGCUUAGGGAGUAUUAUAAUUGACAAGUGGCUAAAACGUAGUCCAUUUUAAAAACUAGAAAUUGAAACGACAGGGACAUUCUGCUAGUUUAAACAAAUUAUGAUUCUCUUCUAAUAAAAAGAUAACCUAAAAAUAACAAAGCUCAAAUGUCAAAGGUUAGAAACAUUAUAUUACUAUGAAAGAACCAAAAUAACCAGAAACAUCAAUCCUAAUUAGCAUCUGAUAACAACCAAUAUAAAAAAAAGUCAACAUACCAAAAAACCCAACAGAAUUCAAUAUAUCUAAUAUAUACAAAUAGUGUACUUUUCUGACGAAUAAGAUUCGGGUGAACUAUCUGACUCAAUUCCUGGUAACAACAACAGUGAAAUGCAUAAGCAUAACCCAACUUUUUUUUUUUGGUUUCCCAUCCAGUGUCCGGAGCUCACAUUGGAACUCCGACUAAAUCCGGAUCGCGCUGACUCAUUCGGGGGUGGCGCUCCCAAUAGGAUUUUCUCUAUAUCCAGGGCUUGAACCCGAGACCUCUGGUUAGAGGUGAAACACUCCCACCAGUGCACCACAACCCAUGUUGGUAUACCUUUGGUUUUCUUUUAAGACCAUUAAUUAAUUAACAAAAUACAAUAAUUCAUCUAAUUUCAACUUGCAAUUAUUUAAAGGUUAUAUAUAGAACAUGGUUUGCUUUUUCCUUUUCCAUGACCAGACACGCUAAUUGAAGCAGGCAACGAAGACUAUGUCAACUAAGCUAUUAAGCGAAAGCCGUACGGUCAUACAUGAAUAAAUAGGAGACCAUACUUGUAUCCAAUUAUCAUAUUCACUUCUGUUUUCACCACUUUGCAUUAACAAUUUGAUCAUAUAGAUUAGCAAUAUGUCAAGAAUUUUGCACAAAAUCGAGGAGAAGCUUCACAUACACCACAAGCAUGGAGAUGAUAAUAUUCCUGCAGCUCAAAACAAGCCACAAGAAAUCCCUGUGAUUAAGGAUGAAAGCAAUGUAGAUAAGAAAGAGGACGACGUUGAUGAUCAUAAGAAAAGGAAUUUGGUGAAAAAAGUUGGGAAAAUUGCCAAAAAAUUGUUACAUGGUCAUAACAAAAACUCCAGAGAGGAAGGCUACGAAGGAGAGGAAGAGGAAGAGGAAGAGGCGGAG
rnacentral:lncRNA from 1 species